rnacentral:rRNA from 1 species
AACGAACGCUGGCGGCAUGCCUAACACAUGCAAGUCGAACGAGACCUUCGGGUCUAGUGGCGCACGGGUGCGUAACGCGUGGGAACCUGCCCUUAGGUUCGGAAUAACUCCCCGAAAGGGGUGCUAAUACCGGAUAAUGUCUUCGGACCAAAGAUUUAUCGCCUUUGGAUGGGCCCGCGUUGGAUUAGCUAGUUGGUAGGGUAAAAGCCUACCAAGGCGACGAUCCAUAGCUGGUCUGAGAGGAUGAUCAGCCACACUGGGACUGAGACACGGCCCAGACUCCUACGGAAGGCAGCAGUGGGGAAUAUUGGACAAUGGGCGAAAGCCUGAUCAAGCAAUGCCGCGUGAGUGAUGAAGGCCUUAGGGUUGUAAAGCUCUUUUACCCGGGAUGAUAAUGACAGUACCGGGAGAAUAAGCUCCGGCUAACUCCGUG